CAAGGAAUUUUCCCCAAUGGGCACACGCCUGAGGGAGCAACGCCGCGUGGAGGACGACGGCCUUCGGGUUGUAAACUCCUUUCGGGUGGGACGAAACUGACGGUACCACCAGAAGCAGCCCCGGCUAACUCUGUGCCAGCAGCCGCGGUAAGACAGAGGGGGCAAGCGUUGUCCGGAGUUACUGGGCGUAAAGGGCGCGGAGGCGGUCUGCUGCGUCGGCGCUGAAAGCGCCCCGCUUAACGGGGCGAGGCGCGCCGAUACGAGCAGGCUGGAGGCGAGCAGAGGGUGGUGGAAUUCCGGGUGGAGCGGUGAAAUGCGUAGAGAUCCGGAGGAACGCCGGUGGAGCAGUCGGCCACCUGGGCUCGACCUGACGCUGCGGCGCGACCGCGUGGGGAGCAAACCGGA
rnacentral:rRNA from 1 species